CCCUUAGAUGUUCUGGGCCGCACGCGCGCUACACUGAUGCAUUCAGCGAGUCCAUCCUUGCCCGAAAGGGCUGGGUAAUCUUUUGAAAUUGCAUCGUGAUGGGGCUUGCGGGUUGCAACUACCCGCACCAACGAGGAAUUCCUAGUAAACGCAAGUCAACAACUUGCAUUGAUUACGUCCCUGCCCUUUGUACACACCGCCCGUCGCUCCUACCGAUGAGUCGUCCGGUGAAGUUCGUAGACCUCGUGAUCGCGGAUCACUGGGGGAAGCAAAAUGAACCUCGCGGUUUAGAGGAAGGAGAAGUCGUAACA
rnacentral:rRNA from 1 species